AUUGAACGCUGGCGGCAGGCCUAACACAUGCAAGUCGAGCGAGCGGCGGACGGGUGAUUCCUGUCUGGGAAACUGCCUGAUGGCGGGGGAUAACUACUGGACACGGUCGCUACUCCUGCCUACCAUUAUAUGUGCCCCGAUGGGAUUAGCUAGUAGGUGGGGUAACGGCGCACCUAGGCGACGAUCCCUAGCUGGUCUGAGAGGAUGACCAGCGACACUGGAACUGAGACACGGUCCAGACUCCUACGGGAGGCAGCAGUGGGGAAUAUUGCACAAUGGGCGCAAGCCUGAUGCAGCCAUGCCGCGUGUGUGAAGAAGGCCUUCGGGUUGUAAAGCACUUUCAGCGGGGAGGCGUUACCCGCAGAAGAAGCACCGGCUAACUCCGUGCCAGCAGCCGCGGUAAUAC
rnacentral:rRNA from 1 species